AUACGUAGGGUGCGAGCGUUAAUCGGAAUCAUUGGGCGUAAAGCGUGCGUAGGCGGUUUGGCAAGUCGGGUGUGAAAGCCCUCGGCUCAACCGAGGAAGUGCGUUCGAAACUGCCAAACUUGAAUACUGGAGAGGGUGGCGGAAUUCCCGGUGUAGAGGUGAAAUUCGUAGAUAUUAGGAAGAACACCGGUGGCGAAGGCGGCCAUCUGGACCGGCACUGACGCUGAGGCGCGAAAGCGUGGGGAGCAAACAGGAUUAGAUACCCCAGUAGUCC
rnacentral:rRNA from 1 species